rnacentral:rRNA from 1 species
AGGAGCGAUCAUAUCAGCACUAAUGCACGGGAUUCCAUCAGAACUAUGAACAUAAGCGUGCUUGGGCGAGAAUGGUAUUUAUUGAUAUGUCACGUAUGAUUUCUA